GACGAACGCUGGCGGCGUGCCUAAUACAUGCAAGUAGAACGCACAGUUUAUACCGUAGCUUGCUACACCAUAAACUGUGAGUUGCGAACGGGUGAGUAACGCGUAGGUAACCUGCCUGGUAGCGGGGGAUAACUAUUGGAAACGAUAGCUAAUACCGCAUAAUAUUGAUUAUUGCAUGAUAAUUGAUUGAACGAUGCUAUUGCAUCACUACCAGAUGGACCUGCGUUGUAUUAGCUAGUAGGUGAGGUAACGGCUCACCUAGGCGACGAUACAUAGCCGACCUGAGAGGGUGAUCGGCCACACUGGGACUGAGACACGGCCCAGACUCCUACGGGAGGCAGCAGUAGGGAAUCUUCGGCAAUGGACGAAAGUCUGACCGAGCAACGCCGCGUGAGUGAAGAAGGUUGUCGGAUCGUAAAGCUCUGUUGUAAGAGAAGAACGGGUGUGAGAGUGGAAAGUUCACACUGUGACGGUAGCUUACCAGAAAGGGACGGCUAACUACGUG
rnacentral:rRNA from 1 species